rnacentral:rRNA from 1 species
GGUUAAGCGACUAAGCGUACACGGUGGAUGCCCUGGCAGUCAGAGGCGAUGAAGGACGUGCUAAUCUGCGAUAAGCGUCGGUAAGGUGAUAUGAACCGUUAUAACCGGCGAUUUCCGAAUGGGGAAACCCAGUGUGAUUCGUCACACUAUCAUUAACUGAAUCCAUAGGUUAAUGAGGCGAACCGGGGGAACUGAAACAUCUAAGUACCCCGAGGAAAAGAAAUCAACCGAGAUUCCCCCAGUAGCGGCGAGCGAACGGGGAGCAGCCCAGAGCCUGAAUCAGUGUGUGUGUUAGUGGAAGCGUCUGGAAAGGCGUGCGAUACAGGGUGACAGCCCCGUACACAAAAAUGCACAUGCUGUGAGCUCGAUGAGUAGGGCGGGACACGUGGUAUCCUGUCUGAAUAUGGGGGGACCAUCCUCCAAGGCUAAAUACUCCUGACUGACCGAUAGUGAACCAGUACCGUGAGGGAAAGGCGAAAAGAACCCCGGCGAGGGGAGUGAAAAAGAACCUGAAACCGUGUACGUACAAGCAGUGGGAGCCUCUUUA